GGUCCUAUAGUACAAGGGAUAGUAUGAAGGUUUCCGGAACCUUAGAUCCAGGUUCGAGUCCUGGUAGGACCAC
rnacentral:tRNA from 1 species